CAACGUUCCAUCUUGGAACACCUAAGUGAAGGACAAAAGGGCGUCUCUUACCAACCAAGCGGUGUGACACACACACAGCAAACUGGAAGAGAUGGAGAGGUGGACAGAAGCGAGAAGGGCUUAUUGGAAAACAAACAAAAAAAGAACAAGAGACAUAAACGAAUCUGGAAAGGUACAGGAGGUUCCAGAGUGCUGAACAGAACCCCUGCACACUUACGUCAGUCACAAGGCUCUUGAAGACCACCAGCUCGGCCUUCAGCCUGUCCACCUUCUCAUUUAGUGCCUCCUGGAUGGCCUCUGACUCCUGGACGUUCUGAGGAGACACAUUCCCAAAGCUGGGGUCAUAAAAAGCCCCAAACUCAUAACCCCACCCAAAGUUUAUUAUAGGUUUACGUUAAAGCGCGGGGGGGGAGAGACGUGGUUAUGGCCUCACCUCCUGCAGUGUCCCCACCAUAGACUCCAGUUGUUGACGUUUAGACAGCUCCUCUUCCCACCUGUAACAUAGGACACCUUAGAUCAGUGAAGGUCACACAGCUGUGUCGAUCUCCAACCACACUGUAGGCAGCAAACAUGACCUGAGGCUACGGAAACACCAACAUAACGCUUAAAAGGGCACCUGGGGUUUCUCUCACAUACAUUCUACUUAAACACUUUAUCGAUGAGAUAUCACUUAAUGUACAAAAUAAACUGUGCAUUCACCGCAUGCAUCUAACAGAUGGGGGUGCUCUUAGUCAGGAACCAAAAACAAACCAGCCAUAUCCCUCAGCAAGCCAGAAACUUCCACGUUAGCAAAUCUAACCCAUAAUCUUUGCGUUUGUUUUUUUGCAAGUUCCACAAAACACUUUGACUUCUUCAUUCCUUCCCUCAGACUCUGAAAUAAAUCCUGUGUCAGCUUUCUGAAGGAGAUGAUGAACAUGAGCCUAACCCUACAGCAUAACCUCUGCAUUCCAAAAUGAUACAAAUAAAUUUAUGGUAAAUGCAACCCAAUUAGACACCUUUGGUUAGACCCUCAGAAAUGUUUUAUUUACGGACCAGACACUCUUAUCCAAAGUGACACAUUUGUGAGAAAGUGGCACUAGGAACCCCCCUGGAGUAAUUGGGGGUUAGGGGGAUUGUUGAGGGUCAAUAAAUCAGCUGUAAAUCACCCUACUGACACAGAGAUUUAUACUGGUAAUAUUCCGAUCACAUGCACAGUGUAGUAUCCCAGUGAGCCACACACCACCGAAGCACUCAGGUGCACAUAUACUUUCCAACAUGCCCAAAUGCCAAACUCAUAAACAAGUGAAGGAUUCCUUCCAUUCGGUUCACCGCUCUGAGGCUGAGGACAUAAAAGACCUGAACAGCCUUUCACACAAGGAAACAUGAGGGCACAUCCUGUGUAUUUCACAGAAGUAAUAAACAAGUAUUAAAUAGUAUUCGUAAGAGCAGUGAGUAUUUCCAAUUACUAUAUGUAGUCUGAAAGCCUUUUAAUUACAUAAAUAACAUAGGUAAACACAAUAUCUACCUUCACCCCAGUUUCUCCCUAUCCUUUGUAUUACAGAUUCUAAUCUAAAAUGAUGGAAACUGCCUGGACACCUUACAAAGACAGACAGCCUUCAAGAUGUGGCUUUGAGUGGAUCUGGUCACGAUGGACGACCAUUGGCAAGGAGCAAGCGCCCUACAUUAAUAAAUGAAACAUUAUCCUUUUUCGCUAAAUAGCCUAUAGGCAGAGUAAUAAAACUCUUUCUCCGGGUCUCGUUAAACCUCACACAGAGUGUAUCAUUAGUCCAGCCACAGUCGGACACUCCCAGUACCGCCACCAAGUAUUUCUGCAAGGGGACGUGCCAGGAAUCUGCAGAAAGCAAAGCAGAACAUUGUGGGCUCAGAUCGCGGCACCUGCUUCCUGAUCCUCACCAUGGCAACACAAACAGACAAUGAAAUAGGCAAUAAACAGGAAGUCUUUGGCAGAA